AAGGGAAGCUUGGCGAAGCCAGAGCUACUUUGAGACGUUCUAUGAGGGAAAUUGGAUUGGAUGUAGCAGAGCAAAGUGGAGAGGUUACACGAUCUGUCUCUGGCCCAGUACUUCCAAGGAAAAACUAUGGGAAUGCUGACAUACAUGUGGAGAGACAACUUAUGCCCCGUGUUCUUGCUGGUACCAAUGGCCCCACUGAUUGGAAUGAAGCUUUGGAUAUUAUUUCUUUUGGUUCUCC